rnacentral:rRNA from 1 species
CACGAAGUUAGCCGGGGCUUAUUCUACGGGUACCGUCAUUAUCUUCCCCGUUAAAAGAGCUUUACAACCCUAGGGCCUUCAUCACUCACGCGGCAUGGCUGGAUCAGGCUUGCGCCCAUUGUCCAAUAUUCCCCACUGCUGCCUCCCGUAGGAGUCUGGGCCGUGUCUCAGUCCCAGUGUGGCUGAUCAUCCUCUCAGACCAGCUACUGAUCGUCGCCUUGGUAGGCCAUUACCCUACCAACUAGCUAAUCAGACGCGGGCCGAUCUUUCGGCGAUAAAUCUUUCCCCGUAAGGGCUUAUCCGGUAUUAGCUGAAGUUUCCCUCAGUUGUUCCGAACCAAAAGGUACGUUCCCACGUGUUACUCACCCGUCUGCCACUGACAUAUUGCUAUGCCCGUUCGACUUGCAUGUGUUAAGCCUGCCGCCAGCGUUCGCUCUGAGCCAGGAUCAAACUCU